GUUGUAAUGUGUGCAUAGUUUCAUCUAUGUCUGACAGCAGUGUCUGUCUGUUUUGCAUUCAGAUCUUGCUAUCCACUCAAACAUCAUGCAGCCAAAGAGUAAGUUGGGUUCAUAGCACUAGUCUAGUGUUGUCUCAUUGCACAUAAUUUACCACCGGCAUCCGAGUUCCAUACACAG
ensembl:snoRNA